rnacentral:rRNA from 1 species
UAAGGAAUAUUGGUCAAUGGACGCAAGUCUGAACCAGCCAUGCCGCGUGGAGGAUGAAGGUCCUCUGGAUUGUAAACUUCUUUUAUUUGGGACGAAAAAAGGCCUUUCUAGGUCGUCUGACGGUACCAGAUGAAUAAGCACCGGCUAACUCCGUGCCAGCAGCCGCGGUAAUACGGAGGGUGCAAGCGUUAUCCGGAUUUACUGGGUUUAAAGGGUGCGCAGGCGGAUAUGUAAGUCAGUGGUGAAAUCUUUAGGCUUAACCUGAAAUUUGCCGUUGAUACUAUAUAUCUUGAAUGCUGUGGAGGUAAGCGGAAUAUGUCAUGUAGCGGUGAAAUGCUUAGAUAUGACAUAGAACACCCUAUUGCGAAGGCAGCUUACUACGCAGAUAUUGACGCUCAUGCACGAAAUGCGUGGGGAUCAAACAGGAUUAGAUACCCUGGUCAGUCACGCCCCUCAAAACCAGAUGAUUAUCUCGACCAUAACGCGAUUACACUGUGUGUGUCUGAGCG